GAAACAGAGAGGGAUAGAGAUACAUUGGCGAACAUUGGUGGGAGAGGAAGAGGAACCGAGAGAGGGAUGGGUGGUAGAUACCAGCUACAGGGAGGAAAGCAGUGAAACGAGAGGGAGGGAAGGAGGGUGUGUGUGCGCGCGCGCGUAGAUCCAGCACGAGAGGAAGGAGAGAGAGAAGAGAAGAGAAGAGAAGAGAGCCCUGGAAAAGCCGGGAGUGUUCCUCUCCGACGACCCCCAUCAGUCGAGGUUUCCGCGAGGGAAAGCUACCCUCGUCGUGUCCUCCUCGUCGUUGUCGGUCGUCGGUCGUCGUUGUCGGUCGUCGUGGUGGUUGUGGUGGACGUCGUGUUGGACGUCGUGGUGGUCUCUUCGUUUUCGUCUUCGUCUUCGUCUACGACGUGUUCGCGUUUGUACCUGUCGUCGUUGUCCUCCUCAGAGAGAAAGAAGACACGACGUAUUACUCGUGAUUGGUUACUGGAACAGUGUUGACGCGUUCAUCGUCUAAUUUCAAGAUCAUCGAUUAUUCGUGAUUACUUUGAAAAAAAGAAAAAACGAAUCAAAACAAAACAAAAAGGGGGGUAGUUUUGGUAAUUGGAAAAGAAACUCGUCUCAAACGUUGAGUUAAUUAACUCUCCCUUAAUUUAUUAAGAGGGGGGGUGUUGAGUGGGAACAUUUUUUCUUCGUCGAAGUGUAGCA
rnacentral:lncRNA from 1 species